rnacentral:rRNA from 1 species
CGGYCGYGGUAUUCUGACCGUGCGARGGUAGCGUAAUCACUUGUCUUUUAAAUAGAGACUGGAAUGAAUGACUAAACGAGGCUCUAUCUGUCUCCUACAGGCGAUCAGUGAAAUUGAUCUCYUCGUSCAAAAGCGAGAAUGGUAACAUAAGACGAGAAGACCCUGUGGAACUUUAAAUAACAGCUAAUAGCCAUAAACCCACUAAACCGAUAGGACCACUACUAUGACCACUCUUAGCUCUAUUUUCGGGUGGGGUGACCUCGGAGRAAAACGAAACCUCCGAAAACCUAUACUAAGAACAACAAACCAAAGUGCCUCCGGCUAAWCGAUCCAAUAUAWUUGRUUAAUGAACCAAGCUACCCCAGGGAUAACAGMGCAAUCCCCUCUUAGAGUCCAUAUCAAMGAUGGGGGKUUYCGACCUCGAUGUUGGGUCARRACAUCCUA